rnacentral:rRNA from 1 species
GACGAACGCUGGCGGCGUGCUUAACACAUGCAAGUCGAACGGAAAGGCCCUGCUUUUGUGGGGUGCUCGAGUGGCGAACGGGUGAGUAACACGUGAGUAACCUGCCCUUGACUUUGGGAUAACUUCAGGAAACUGGGGCUAAUACCGGAUAGGAGCUCCUGCUGCAUGGUGGGGGUUGGAAAGUUUCGGCGGUUGGGGAUGGACUCGCGGCUUAUCAGCUUGUUGGUGGGGUAGUGGCUUACCAAGGCUUUGACGGGUAGCCGGCCUGAGAGGGUGACCGGCCACAAUGGGACUGAGAUACGGCCCAGACUCCUACGGGAGGCAGCAGUGGGUAAUAUUGCACAAUGGGCGGAAGCCUGAUGCAGCAACGCCGCGUGCGGGAUGACGCCCUUCGGGUUGUAAACCGCUUUCGCCUGUGACGAAGCGUGAGUGACGGUAAUGGGUAAAGAAGCACCGGCUAACUACGUG